rnacentral:rRNA from 1 species
UACGUAGGGUGCAAGCGUUGUCCGGAAUUAUUGGGCGUAAAGAGCUCGUAGGCGGUUUGUCGCGUCUGCUGUGAAAACUCGGGGCUUAACUCCGGGCCUGCAGUGGGUACGGGCAGACUAGAGUGCGGUAGGGGAGACUGGAAUUCCUGGUGUAGCGGUGAAAUGCGCAGAUAUCAGGAGGAACACCGGUGGCGAAGGCGGAGUCUCGUCGGCGAUGAACUGACGUGAGGAGCGAAAGCGUGGGGAGCGAACAGG